rnacentral:tRNA from 4 species
GCCCAGGUGGCGGAAUUGGUAGACGCGCACGCUUGAGGGGCGUGUAGGAGCAAUCCUGUGGAAGUUCGAGUCUUCUCCUGGGCACCA